rnacentral:rRNA from 1 species
GGUACACCAGGAGUGGAGCCUGCGGCUUAAUUUGACUCAACACGGGUAAACUUACCAAGACCGAACAGUAGAAGGAAUGACAGAUUAAGAGUUCUUUCAUGAUUUAUUGGGUAGUGGUGCAUGGCCGUUCUUAGUUGGUGGAGUGAUUUGUCAGGUUAAUUCCGGUAACGAACGAGACUGAAACCUAUUAAUUAGUUUUCUGCCUAUAAGACAGAAAUGUUCGCAAGAACAGGUGCGUAAGUACCACUUCUUAAAGGGACACAUUUCAAUUGUCCUAUUUUAAUUGUAGUUAUCUAAUUUCGGUUAGACCUCUUUUAACGUGGGAAAAAGAAAAAGGAAGCAUUCAGCAAUAACAGGUCUGUGAUGCCCUUAGACAUCUUGGGCCGCACGCGCGCUACAAUGGAGUUACUAGAGAGUAUUUUAUCAUUUACACCUUAUUUAUUAGGCUUUGUCUAAUAAUUAAGGAUAGUAAGUGGUGUACCGAGAUUGAAAUAGUUAAGGAAAACUCAAAAGAACGUACAUGACAGGGAUAAAUGAUUGGAAUUAUUUGUUUUGAACGAGGAAUUCCAUGUAAUAACG